rnacentral:rRNA from 1 species
AUUGAACGCUGGCGGCAUGCCUUACACAUGCAAGUCGAACGGCAGCAUGGGUGCUUGCACCUGAUGGCGAGUGGCGAACGGGUGAGUAAUGCAUCGGAACGUACCCGGAAGUGGGGGAUAACGUAGCGAAAGUUACGCUAAUACCGCAUAUUCUGUGAGCAGGAAAGUGGGGGAUCGCAAGACCUCGCGCUUCCGGAGCGGCCGAUGUCGGAUUAGCUAGUUGGCGGGGUAAAGGCCCACCAAGGCAACGAUCCGGAGCGGGUCUGAGAGGAUGAUCGGCCACACUGGGACUGAGACACGGCCAAGACUCCUACGGGAGGCAGCAGUGGGGAAUUUUGGACAAUGGGGGCAACCCUGAUCCGGCCAUGCCGCGUGAGUGAAGAAGGCCUUCGGGUUGUAAAGCUCUUUCGGCCGGGAAGAAAUCGCACAGGUUAAUACCUUGUGUGGAUGACGGUACCGGAAUAAGAAGCACCGGCUAACUACGUGCCAGCAGCCGCAGUAACAC